rnacentral:rRNA from 1 species
GUGAGGCCUUGGGAUUGGCUUAGGAGGGUUGGCAACGACCCCCCAGAGCCGAAAACUUGGUCAAACUCGGUCAUUUAGAGGAAGUAAAAGUCGUAACAAGGUUUCCGUAGGUGAACCUGCGGAAGGAUCAUUACCGAGUGAGGGCCCUCUGGGUCCAACCUCCCACCCGUGUUUAUUUUACCUUGUUGCUUCGGCGGGCCCGCCUUAACUGGCCGCCGGGGGGCUCACGCCCCCGGGCCCGCGCCCGCCGAAGACACCCUCGAACUCUGUCUGAAGAUUGUAGUCUGAGUGAAAAUAUAAAUUAUUUAAAACUUUCAACAACGGAUCUCUUGGUUCCGGCAUCGAUGAAGAACGCAGCGAAAUGCGAUACGUAGUGUGAAUUGCAGACUCCAGUGAAUCAUCGAAUCUUUGAACGCACAUUGCGCCCGCUGGUAUUCCGGCGGGCAUGCCUGUCUGAGCGUCAGUAUAAUCUCAAGCAACUGCUUGGUGUUGGAAGAUGAGCUGCCCAGCAGUUCCCUUCUUAAACUGAUUGGCAAGUUUACAUAGCAGCAAGCGUAGUAGAAAUACCAUCAGCUUAGUUACUCUGUAUAGCUUUGUCAAAAUCAAACUAUUUUAAGGUUUGACCUCAGAUCAGGUAAGGAUACCCCCUGAACUUAAGCAUAUCAAUAAAGGGGAGGAAAAGAAACCAACAGGGAUUGCCCUAGUAACGGCGAGUGAAGCGGCAUCAGCUCAAAUUUGAAAGCUGGGCCUUCUGGUCCGCAUUGUAAUUUGUAGAGGAUGCUUUUAGGCAGCCGCCGGUCUAAGUUCCUUGGAACAGGACGU